rnacentral:lncRNA from 1 species
UUCUGGGAAAUUGCUGGAUUGUGUCUUUCAAUGGUUUUGUUUCUAAGGUACAAUCCGAGGUUUCUGAGGGUUCUGGUUUCUUGAUUACUAGGAUUGAUUUGGCAAGAAAUUAUCUGUUUCUUGUAUUUAGAAACCAUUUGUUAGCUUUGGAUAAUGAAGUCCUUUUGUGCCCAUGAUGUAUUUUUCUCAGAUGAUACUCUUAAGAUCCGUUGAGCUGCUCAGUGUUUGCUUUAAAGUUUGAGAGAAAAAUGGAGGAUGAUAAUGGGCUCGAGCUCAGCUUGGGUCUUUCUUGUGGAGGAUCAUCAGCAAAAGCUAAGGGUAACAAUACUAAUAAUGCUGGAAGCUCCUCAGAGAACCACAGGGCAGAAGGAGGUGAUAGAAGCGCUAAAGUGAUUGAUGACUUUAAGAAUUUCCUGCAUCCAACUUCUCAACGACCUGCAGAGCCGAGUUCUGGUUCUCAGAGAAGCGAUUCGGGUCAACAACCUCAGCAGAAUUUCUUCAAUGACCUCUCAAAAGCUCCUAUCACUGACGGUGAAGCUUCCACGAAAUCUUUGUGGGUGGAGGAUGAGACACGGAAAGAAGCUGGAAACAAAAGAAAGUUUGGGUUCCCGGGGAUGAAU